AGUGAUGAACAAUUUCUGAUCUAUGAUCCAUGGAGCAUAUAAAAGAUUAGAUUUAAGUAUUAAUUAAUUUUAGAUUAUAUCUAAAUUAAUUAGGCUUAAUUGGGUCCAAAAAAAUCUAAGUCACACUUGGUACAAAAGUCCUAAAGAGUUUGGGAUUGACAGUCUUUCGAAAUUAUUUCGAACUAGCUUCGAAUUGGAUUCGUAUC
rnacentral:lncRNA from 1 species